GUGACCUCAAAUCAGGUAGGACUACCCGCUGAACUUAAGCAUAUCAAUAAGCGGAGGAAAAGAAACUAACAAGGAUUCCCCUAGUAACUGCGAGUGAAGCGGGAAAAGCUCAAAUUUAAAAUCUGGCAGUCUCUGGCUGUCCGAGUUGUAAUCUAGAGAAGUGUUAUCCGCGUUGGACCGUGUACAAGUCUCCUGGAAUGGAGCAUCAUAGAGGGUGAGAAUCCCGUCUUUGACACGGACUGCCAGGGCUUUGUGAUGCGCUCUCAAAGAGUCGAGUUGUUUGGGAAUGCAGCUCAAAAUGGGUGGUAAAUUCCAUCUAAAGCUAAAUAUUGGCGAGAGACCGAUAGCGAACAAGUACCGUGAGGGAAAGAUGAAAAGAACUUUGGAAAGAGAGUUAAACAGUACGUGAAAUUGCUGAAAGGGAAACGCUUGAAGUCAGUCGCGUUGGCCAGGGAUCAACCUUGCUUUUGCUUGGUGUACUUUCUGGUUGACGGGUCAGCAUCAAUUUUGACCAUUGGAAAAAGAUCAAGGGAAUGUGGCAUCUUCGGAUGUGUUAUAACCCUUGGUUGCAUACAGUGGU
rnacentral:rRNA from 2 species